UUAGGAAUUUUGCGCAAUGGACGAAAGUCUGACGCAGCGACAUCGCGUGUGGGAUGAAGGCCUUCGGGUCGUAAACCACUUUUAUAACAAUAUGAAAUUGUUUUGAAUAAGGAACUACUAACUACGUGCCAGCAGUCGCGGUAAUACGUAGGUUCCGAGCGUUACCCGGUUUUAUUGGGCGUAAAGAGUCUGUAGGUUGUUUUUCAAGUCUUAUUUCAAAGACCCCAGCUUAACUGGGGACAGGGGUAGGAGACUGAAAGACUAGAGUUAUAUCGGGGUUACUGGAAUUUGUAGUGUAGGGGUAAAAUCCGUGGAUACUACAAAGAACACCAAGCGCGAAGGCGGGUAACUAGGUAUACACUGACACUGAGAGACGAAAGCUAGGGUAGCAAAUCAG
rnacentral:rRNA from 1 species